rnacentral:rRNA from 1 species
AUUGAACGCUGGCGGCAGGCUUAACACAUGCAAGUCGAGCGGGGGAAGGUAGCUUGCUACCGGACCUAGCGGCGGACGGGUGAGUAAUGCUUAGGAAUCUGCCUAUUAGUGGGGGACAACAUCUCGAAAGGGAUGCUAAUACCGCAUACGUCCUACGGGAGAAAGCAGGGGAUCUUCGGACCUUGCGCUAAUAGAUGAGCCUAAGUCGGAUUAGCUAGUUGGUGGGGUAAAGGCCUACCAAGGCGACGAUCUGUAGCGGGUCUGAGAGGAUGAUCCGCCACGCUGGGACUGAGACACGGCCCAGACUCCUACGGGAGGCAGCGGUGGGGAAUAUUGGACAAAGGGGGGAACCCUGAUCCAGCCAUGCCGCGUGUGGGAAGAAGGCCUUAUGGUUGUAAAGCACUUUAAGCGAGGAGGAGGCUACUCUAGUUAAUACCUAGGGAUAGUGGACGUUACUCGCAGAAUAAGCACCGGCUAACUCUGUGCCAGCCGCCGCCGUAA